GCAUCGGUGGUUCAGUGGUAGAUUGCUCGUCUGCCACGGGGGGGGGGGGUUCGAUUCCCGGCCGAUGCA